CCUACGGGAGGCAGCAGUAGGGAAUAUUGCUCAAUGGGGGAAACCCUGAAGCAGCAACGCCGCGUGGAGGAUGAAGGUUUUCGGGUUGUAAACUCCUUUUGUUAGAGAAGAUAAUGACGGUAUCUAACGAAUAAGCACCGGCUAAUUCCGUGCCAGCAGCCGCGGUAAUACGGAGGGUGCAAGCGUUACUCGGAAUCACUGGGCGUAAAGAGCGCGUAGGCGGGAUAGCAAGUCAGAUGUGAAAUCCUAUGGCUUAACCAUAGAACUGCAUUUGAAACUGUUAUUCUAGAGUAUAGGAGAGGUAGGUGGAAUUCUUGGUGUAGGGGUAAAAUCCGUAGAGAUCAAGAGGAAUACUCAUUGCGAAGGCGACCUGCUAGAACAUAACUGACGCUGAUGUGCGAAAGCGUGGGGAGCAAACAGGAUUAGAUACCCGGGUAGUC
rnacentral:rRNA from 1 species